rnacentral:rRNA from 1 species
GACGAACGCUGGCGGCGUGCUUAACACAUGCAAGUCGAACGGUAAGGCCCUUCGGGGUACACGAGUGGCGAACGGGUGAGUAACACGUGGGUGAUCUGCCCCGCACUUCGGGAUAAGCCUGGGAAACUGGGUCUAAUAACGGAUAGGACCACUGCCUGCAUGGGUGGUGGUGGAAAGCUUUUGCGGUGUGGGAUGGGCCCGCGGCCUAUCAGCUUGUUGGUGGGGUGAUGGCCUACCAAGGCGACGACGGGUAGCCGGCCUGAGAGGGUGACCGGCCACACUGGGACUGAGAUACGGCCCAGACUCCUACGGGAGGCAGCAGUGGGGAAGAUUGCACAAUGGGCGCAAGCCUGAUGCAGCGACGCCGCGUGAGGGAUGACGGCCUUCGGGUUGUAAACCUCUUUCAGCACCGACGAAGCGCAAGUGACGGUAGGUGCAGAAGAAGGACCGGCCAACUACGUGCCAGCCGCCGCGGUAA